GAUGAACGCUAGCGGCAGGCUUAAUACAUGCAAGUCGUGGGGCAGCAGGUUUGUAGCAAUACAGAUGCUGGCGACCGGCAAACGGGUGCGUAACACGUACGCAACCUUCCCGUUACUGGGGAAUAGCCCAGGGAAACUUGGAUUAAUACCCCAUAUUAUAUUGGUCAGGCAUCUGACUGACAUCAAAGCUUCGGCGGUAACGGAUGGGCGUGCGGUUGAUUAGGUAGUUGGCGGGGUAACGGCCCACCAAGCCUACGAUCAAUAGCUGAUGUGAGAGCAUGAUCAGCCACACGGGCACUGAGACACGGGCCCGACUCCUACGGGAGGCAGCAGUAAGGAAUAUUGGGCAAUGGACGCAGGUCUGACCCAGCCAUGCCGCGUGAAGGAUGAAGGUCCUCUGGAUUGUAAACUUCUUUUAUCUGGGGCGAAAACCGGUUAUUCUUAACCGUUUGACAGUACCAGAGGAAUAAGCACCGGCUAACUCCGUGCCAGCCGCCGCCGUAAUAC
rnacentral:rRNA from 1 species